rnacentral:sRNA from 1 species
GCUGGGCGCAGUGGCGCAAACCUGUAAUCCCAGAGUCUCUGGAGGCUGAGGCAGGAGGAUCAAGAGUUCAUAAGCCAGCCUUGGCAAAAAUGAGGCGCUAAGCAACUUAGUGAGACCCUGUCUCUA